rnacentral:rRNA from 1 species
UACGUAGGGUGCGAGCGUUGUCCGGAAUUAUUGGGCGUAAAGGGCUCGUAGGCGGUUUGUCGCGUCGGGGAGUGAAAACACCGGGCUUAACUCGGUGCUUGCUUUCGAUACGGGCAGACUAGAGGCAUGCAGGGGGAGAACGGAAUUCCUGGUGUAGCGGGUGAAAUGCGCAGAUAUCAGGAGGAACACCGAUGGCGAAGGCAGGUCUCUGGGCCAUAACUGACGUGAGAAGCGAAAAGCAUGGGGGAGCGAACAGGG